UCACCCCUCAAGCCCUCGGCUUGGUGUUGGACGGUCGGUGAAAGGAGACUUUCACCCCUCCCAAAGACAAUGACGGCGGCCUCGUUGGACCCCCGGUACACUGAGUUCUUCACGGAACACGUACUGGACUAUAGGGUCUGCGGGCACGGUCUACCUCCCACUCGGGAGAAUCUUUUUUACAA
rnacentral:misc_RNA from 1 species